CCUACGGGAGGCAGCAGUGAGGAAUAUUGGUCAAUGGGCGGAAGCCUGAACCAGCCAAGUAGCGUUCGGGAUGAAGGCCCUACGGGUCGUAAACCGCUUUUGCACGGGGAUAACACCCUCCACUUGUGGAGGUCUGCAGGUACCGUGCGAAUAAGGGCCGGCUAAUUCCGUGCCAGCAGCCGCGGUAAUACGGAAGGCCCGAGGGUUAUCCGGAUUCAUUGGGUUUACAGGGUGCGUAGGAGGAGUUUUAAGUAAGCGGGAAAAUGUCCGGGCUCAACCCGGGCCGGACGUUGAAACGGGGGAUCUUGAGUGGGCGAGAAGUAUGCGGAAUGCGUGGUGUAGCGGGGAAAUGCAUAGAUAGCACGCAGAACUCCGAUUGCGAAGGCAGCAUACCGGCGCCCGACUGACGCUGAGGCACGAAAGCGUGGGGAUCGAACAGGAUUAGAUACCCGGGUAGUC
rnacentral:rRNA from 1 species